rnacentral:rRNA from 1 species
UACGUAGGGGGCAAGCGUUGUCCGGAAUCAUUGGGCGUAAAGCGCGUGUAGGCGGUUACGUAAGUCUGCUGUGAAAGUCGGAGGCGCAACCUUCGAAAGCCGGUGGAUACUGCGUGACUAGAGUACGGAAGAGGAGAGUGGAAUUCCUGGUGUAGCGGUGAAAUGCGUAGAUAUCUGGAGGAACACCGGUGGCGAAGGCGGCAUCCUGGACCGGUAUUGACGCUGAGGCGCGAAAGCCAGGGGAGCAAACGGG